GGGUGUGCUGUAAUAGGGUGGAAGAGUAAUGAUUAUAUUCCUACUUAUUAUUUUCCUGUAACAGUACACCCCCAAGCGUUUUAUUCCUUACAAAGCUACGAGUAUCAUUAGAUCGCAACAUUAUAGUGACAGAUGGCUAUGACGGUAAUUAUUUAGCUUAUUACAGCAUAAGUCCAUCUAGACACUCUAAGAAUAUUUAACGGUCCCGUGUUUUAUCGUUCUCGUGUUUUCUUUGCAAGGUUUCCAGUUAUGAGUAAAGUCCUUUUGCUAUGAGAAGUCCCUAAAAGCCUGGUGCCAUCGGUGAGAUCAGAAUGUUUACUCAGCGGUGCUAUUGCUCCAUAUCGCAGUGUGUGCUAUUACGGGCUCUAAUCACGGCCCUGCACGCAAACAAACCCCUUUCCCUCAGCACUGUCCCAAAGGGAGGCAGAGAUAACUGCUAGCCCUGCCCUGAUGCCAGAUAAACACCGUCCCUAUGGAUUUAGCUUCACCAAAAUGACUCGCUGGAAUGGCCUCAGCUCGAACUCUGUGGAUCCAGAGGUACGAGUGGAAUUAAAACAGGACUUGUCCAUUUUUAGGCCUGAAUAGAUUGCUGAGUCCCAGCAGAUGGACAAGAAAUGAACGAGGAUCAGUGGACCAUAGAAAUAAAAGUCGAUGUCUUGCAACAGAAAAGACUCUAUGAAGGGGAUCGUAAACAAGGCAGGAGGUUAAGAUGUAAUAGUAUGACGGAAACGAAAAGAGCAGAAAGAGGUGAGAAUGAGACUUUUAAGGUUUUAUUUAAAAAAAGAAAAAGAAAAGAAAAAGGAUCUAGAAGAGUCUUGAAAUUGAGGUACUACCGAUAUCACUAGAGAUGGUGUAGAAACUUUACUUACAACAAAGGCAUAUUUAAAUCUGGAUGUUUACAUUUUUAUUGACAUCCAUGAAUGAAAUUGAAGUCUAUCUGGAUAUCUUGUUCAGCCGCCAUUUAUUUCCAUGUAAUACGUGCCAAUAACAUCUUACGUCUUACAACUCGGUUCAGGACAACCCGAUAAUUAUUUCCUUGGACAUCACUGGUCUCUUGGAAGGCCUUCAACGCUUGUCCAUCAGAAGACUUGGACUUACCUUCAAAGCCAGCUCCUCUGUAUUCACCACAGAAAUGGAGUUCCCUUCCCAGCAGGACAUUUUUGUUUUUGUUUUUAUUCUGCCAAAAACCACCCAGCUGGACUGAUCACAAGCCUAGGCGAUAUCAGCCACAUAGUGACGCUGACUUUGACGUAACUUGCGUAACCGCGCAGGCCGUGGGAACUGGACGCAGAGCUCCACUCGGCGUAAUGAUCUCGGACAGAUCUCAGUGCCAGAACUGGGCAGUGUAGAAUUCUGUAAUGUGGCGGUGAUGAGCCAAGACAAGUUCGAGGUCCAAAGUUUGCUUCUGGACUGGUCUUAAUGCUGUGAACAAGACAAGGAAGGUCAGGGGUUCAAGGCCUGGUACUGCCAAGCUGCCACUGUUGGGCCCUUCAGCAAGGCCCUUAACAGUCUCUGCUCCAGGGGGCGCUGUAUCAUGUCUGACCCUGCGCUCUGACCCCGACUUCCUGACAUGCUGGGGAAGGCAAUUUCUACAUAAUUGUCUGCCAAAACACUCAGCUGGCCAAACUCGUAGACCCUCUUCGUCAACCGGUAGGUUAUUUAUUACAGCUUUGUCAUUACUUGUCGAUCAAAAAUGCGUGAGGUUUUCUAAUUGCUUUGCUGCUGUAAUAUUUUCUUAAUAAUAACUCGUCUACAAUUAGUCUACGAUGUACCAUUAGUAGCAGUCUUUACAUGUUACCAGCUGGCAAAGACGCUCUCCCGGUUUGAUCAUCUUGUGCUUGUAGCUGCUCAGAACAUGCUGGAUUUUUCAGCAGGGUAAAUCAGAGUGUGUGUAUAUAUAUGUGUGUGUAUAAUUACACAUCCAACUUGAAUUCAAAUCAUCUGAAUCUCUUCUAAAGGACAAUUCCACCUCCAAAUAUUAUCUCCAAGUAUACCAGUAUUCACCUCCUACCUGAGAUGUUUGCUGUUUUGACACCCAACUAUGUUUUGAGACUGUUUCAAGAUGGCUGUGAUGCCAUUUUGUGGUUUUUAUAUAGAUAACGGUGUGCCAUACCACUGUUAACCACAUUUGUAGCUCAGUUGUAGCUCUCAAGAAGCAGACUUCAAACACCGAACAUGCCUCGGCUGAUACAUUAGGGGUUAAAAGAUAAUUAUUCUUGGUCUCAGCAUAUGAGUCAGCAAAAUGAGCCAAUCCAAUUGUAGACAACGUCAGUGCCUCCUCUCACAACGUUCUUUUACAAAAGAUUUGACAGACACGUUCGGUGACAGCUCCCACAUUCAGGUUCUUAAGGACACUCCUGAAGGUACAUCAUGUGCUGUUCAUUUUCAUGACGAAGAGGUCUGUUUGUAGUCCUGACUGUAACACUUUUACAUUCAGUAGACACUGUUGCUUUUUUAAGUCUAUGCAUCUUUAUGAAUCCAAGUUAUCACUUUUAUUCAGAGAGGUUAUACGGAACGGUUAUUGUACGUUGCCAUGGUGACCAGCACUGAGACAUUAGACAUAAGCUGUGUGUUUUAUUACUGUUUUUAACAUGACCUCGUUCACUUUCGCCUCACGGUCUGGAAGUGUAUAACACUUUUGCUCCUGAGUGGUCGUAGCAGGAAGUGGUCUUAAUAAAAACUCACUCGACCUUGACAGCAACACUAAAAAAACAAAACAAAACAAAACAAAAAAAAACAACUGAAGAUGUUUUUGUACAGGCUAUUCUCUUUUCCUCUGAGUUACACUAUGUAGAGAGUCCUAUCAGCAUACUAAUGAGGUGGAUCGCUAACUAGCUAACAAUAAAGCUAAAAAAAUAAAUAAAUAAAAAGCUGUCAUGUAUUAACUAAUAUUAAGUAACAUGUUAUAUAUGAAGAAAUGACUUUCUCUUUACAGCUUAGACGCAGAGUAAAAUGAUUCCUGCUAAGCCUUAUAGCCAGUUGUUUACCACAGAAACAGCCAUUUUGAUCACGUUUGUUCUCAAUGGAAAGAUUUUUUUUUUCACAUCAUCGUUGAGAGACUAAACUUUUAAGAAUUGUUGACAAAAACUCAGCACUUUGAGGAUUCCACGCUGAAUAAAUUGUAAGAAUUCAUUCACAGCUAGCAGGGUACGGUAACGAUGCUAGCAUUGAUGAUAAGUAGCUAAUUGAUAUCAGGUGUGUAUUAUUUUAUACUUAUAAGAUUUCACUUCCAUUCAUUGCUUUACAAAAUGAUCAAAUUGUGGAUAGGUGAUAGAGUUUUAUCACUAGUGUUAGCAUCCUUUUGCUAACACUAGCUAGCUGUGAGAGUUAAUAAUAAUAGAAUGAAGAGUGUUUUUGUUUGUUCAGUGUUAGCUAAAUGGCGCUGAUGCUAGCAGUCGAUAAGGUGGAAUGAAGCGCCACAUGAUCUUGAGGUUAAACUCCACUUGCUGGUUUGAGAGUCUGUCAGAUUAGCUUCAGAUAAUGAACCAUUUCUUCUUGCUGUGGUUGCAGAUUAUUUGCCCCUAAACUCUAUACAAACUGUGUCUCUGAUUCCUUUGAAAGUGACUGUGAAGAGCACCAGUCUUUAACCAUGAGCUAGGUUCAUAGGUGAAAUUCUAACUAUAAACAAAUUGUAUUUCCUCUGCGUGUUACAAAAUUCCUUCCCUCGAUCCCUACUGACUGCUCCAUUGUUUCAUCGACUCUUCUCCUUCAUCCACAGGAAAGCUAUGCAAGCUGAGGUAACUCUCUUUUUUUUUUUUUCUGAAAGCGUUCAUUUCAGCUGUUGUUCUUGUUGUAGUGGAAGUGCGAAGGCUACUUCCUGCAGCAAAAAAAACCCCAGAAAUGUGAAAAGGGCACAUUGCAUCAUCUUGCAGUGCCUUCUGGGUAGGGUCAACUCUCAAAGUCUUGUCAUGUUUACUCAGUAUCUCGAGUCUUGAAAAUUUAAUCUAACGAAAUAUCAGAAUUGCCCCGAAGAAGGCGACUGGGAUUCUCUUAAGCAGAAGACAUCCAAGACUCAUAAUAAACAGUACUGAAAUGCAGCCUGGGAUCCAGACAGUUAAAAGGAAACGAUACUACAUGAUUGGCAGAUUAAACAAGGUUAGAAACGUGGUUAAGAUUUGAAAGAGCAACUAGUGAGUCAUUAGUUUCUGACCAAUUUCAUUAAUAAACCUACAGAAAGUACCAGCCGCGCUAAAUUAUUGUACAACUCAUGACGUAAGAAGGCGCGACGUCACACGUCGUGAUCUAUGAUGGCUUGUCGAGGGCAAUGUUUGAGCCAGGAAGUAAAAGUCCAAUUUCAUUACAUCUUCUUUUCAGUGGUUCUAUCAAAAUCACUUCAGAACAAAAUCAAAAUAAUAUGCUCUUGAACUGUACAUGAAAAAAAAACAGUACAGCUCAGUUAGGCUGGAAGUAAAAAAGACUUGUUGCCAGGCAACAGGCUCCCUAAACCGAUCUCAAUCUCUGUCUGCUUCAGGAUGAAAAAAUAAUCUAUUAUAGCUGCUAUUAGUCUCACUUUAUGGCUUUAUCUCUCCGUCUACAUUCAUGACAGUCACUAGACUCUAUUAUAGUUAUUUGUAUCGAGUCGUACAGUAUCCACCCCCUUUCUUAUUUUGAUUUAGUAAGAGGAAUUUAGCCGGGGACGUGAUGUUUUCCAGAUGCGCUCCGUAUUGAUUUCCCUUUCUCUGAGGAAGCCCUGUCACACAGAAUAGCAUUGGGAUUUGAGAAAAACAGAAAAGAGGUGACCUUCGACCUUGUGUUCCACAGUGGAAGCGCUGGGAAAUCAGCAAGAGGAAAGCCAGAGGCUUUCCAGGGAAAAACAUGGUGACACCUGGUGGUCAAAAGUGGCAGCUCCACACCUCCUCCCCCCACCUCAUAACUGUAAUGCAGAAAACCUGGAAAGUCUUCAUUCUUCUCCACAAAGGGUUUUCAUUCCAACCAAACAGGAGACACACCUUUUUAAUCAGUUCAUUUGAUCGGCAAUCAUCUAUCAAGUGUACCUGCUCCUAUUUUGCUGGAAUGAAAGCGUGCAGCCUUAGUGGUUUGUACGUUUACCUCGCACCUAUGCGGUUGGCGGUUUGAAUCCUGUGCGUCAGGGGUUUCCUCGCCUAGUCUAAAGAUAUGCGUUGUAGGCUGACUGGCAUUUCCUAAUUGCCUCGAGUUCCUUGGGAUAGGCUCCAGGCUCCCUGCGACCCUGUGUAGGAUAAGCGGUAUCGCAAAUGGAUGGAUGGAUAGAUGGAAAACCUGCAGCCCUUUGUGGAUAAGAUUGAAGACGCCUGUGUAAGACCAAGCUAAUAAAUUUAACUCUAAAAACAGGACCAAAGUCAGUGGUGUGGUGUAAGGUGGAGAAAUGUUAUUACGUUUUAGUGGGGUUUUUUUUUCAGAGCUCUUCCCAAUGUUUUACGGCAGUUACUACAAUAGCGUGCUGGACAAAGAUGUCUGGUUCAACCUGAUCCUGAUCUGGAGUUAGUUCGUUGUUUCAGACUCCAUAUUAGUGUAGAAUUCGAAGCUUAUGUCAGGGGUGUAACUGAAUGCAACUAAGUGUAUCUGUAUCCGUUUAGUGCUCCAAAUAUUCGUAUCUGGGUUAAAUAUGAACACUACCACAACGCCCCCUGGGGGAAAAAAACCUGAGUUAGAAAUGGCAGCCCUUUCAACAUGGUGUAUGAAUUCAGGCUCUGAAAGUUCCUCAACCUCAGCUACAUCACUCUAGUCCAUGUUAUUGAACGUGGUCUUUGUUUGUCCUUCGAGCUUUAUAUCUGAUUGGAAGAAGAAAGAAGUGUAUUCAUAUUUGGUUACACCCCCAGCUUAUACACAGAGUACGGGCUACACACUUACACACAGAUGUGUGCGAAAGAAAUGCUGUAAAGCAAAGACAGUUUCAAAGAUAAGGAAAUAAAUCAUUUCUACAUACUAAAAAUGGCUGAGCAGUAAAUAGUAAUAAACCACUGGCAUCCCUUUUCUAAGUUUUUUUCCUGCAUUUAAAAUAUUUUUUAAAUAAACAGAAGAUAAAAAAAAACGAUUUUUAAAAAGAAAGAAAAUGUUCAGUAUCUCGAAUGUUUAAUAUUCUGCACUAUUUCUAGCUCCCUAUUUAAAUGUGUGAUAUUGACCAUGUUCAUUAACUUUGUACAGAAGGUCAGAAUUUCCUCAUGUCUGAUCUCUUCUGUUGCAGCACGUGCUCAGACGACACUCCAAUGGAUUUGAUCUAAAAUGGAUCAUCAGGUUUUACACAAACUUGUAGAGUCCAUGAUCAAGU